rnacentral:rRNA from 1 species
UCGGCCCGCGUCUGAUUAGGUAGUUGGUGGGGUAACGGCCUACCAAGCCUACGAUCAGUAGCUGGUUUGAGAGGAUGAUCAGCCACACUGGGACUGAGACACGGCCCAGACUCCUACGGGAGGCAGCAGUGGGGAAUCUUAGACAAUGGGGGCAACCCUGAUCUAGCCAUGCCGCGUGAGUGACGAAGGCCCUAGGGUCGUAAAGCUCUUUCACCAGGGAAGAUAAUGACGGUACCUGGAGAAGAAACCCCGGCUAACUCCGUGCCAGCAGCCGCGGUAAUACGGAGGGGGUUAGCGUUGUUCGGAAUUACUGGGCGUAAAGCGCGCGUAGGCGGACUGUUAAGUCAGGGGUGAAAUCCCGGGGCUCAACCCCGGAACUGCCCUUGAUACUGGCAGUCUCGAGUUCGAGAGAGGUGAGUGGAACUCCGAGUGUACAGGUGAAAUUCGUAGAUAUUCGGAAGAACACCAGUGGCGAAGGCGGCUCACUUGGCUCGAUACUGACGCUGAGGUGCGACAGUGUGGGGAGCAAACAGGAUUAGAUACCCUGGUAGUCCACACCGGUAAACGAUGACUGCCAAACGUCGGGCAGCAUGCUGUUCUGGUGUCACACCUUGACGGAUUAAGCAUUCCGCCUGGGGAGUACGCCCCAUAGGUUUAUACUCAUAGGUAUUGACUGGGGCCCGCACAAGCGGUGGAGCAUGUGGUUUAAUUCGAAGCAACGCGCAGAACCUUACCAACCCUUGACAUCCUCGUCGCGGUUACCGGAGACGCUUUCCUUCAGUUCGGCUGGACGAGUGACAGGUUCUGCAUGUCUGUCGUCAGCUCGUGUCGUGAGAUGUUCGGUUAAGUCCGGCAACGAGCGCAACCCACACCCUUAGUUGCCAGCAGUCCGGCUGGUCACUCUAGGGGAACUGCCCGUGAUAAGCGGGAGGAAGGUGUGGAUUACGUCAAGUCCUCAUGGCCCUUACGGUUUGGGCUACACACGUGCUACAAUGGCAGUGACAUUGGGGUAAUCCCAAAAAACUGUCUCAGUUCGGAUUGUCGUCUGCAACUCGACGGCAUGAAGUCGGAAUCGCUAGUAAUCGCGUAACAG